rnacentral:lncRNA from 1 species
CUACAUUCAAAAUUGUACCGACAAUGUUCUCGCAGACAUUUUUCUCAAUAUGCAUAACAUCAAGAUUGUGUCGUAAAAGGUGGUGCUCCCAAUAAGGCAACUCAAAAAAAAUACUUCUUUUUUUCCACAAGUCUGCCUCAUUAGGAUCAUCCUCUUCAUCAGAGUCAUCAUCAGCUUCAUCAUUUGAUCUUCUAUUUCUUUGCGUGUUUGCCGGUUGGUUCAUCUUCCCAUAACUGAAAUUCAUAUCUUCCAACAUUAACAAGAUUUCAGAUCCACUUGUCUGCGAAGAAGCUUCUCUAAACUCUUCAGUACCGUCAAAUGCUGAAC